UAUUGUGGACUUUUGAAUAGGUCUGGGGCUUGGCUCGAUUUGCCGGUCGUGUCUGCUUGACGUGCGUCUCCCCUUUUUGGGGUUGGUGGGUUUGGGUGCUGGUGGGUGAUGGAGGAGGGAUAGGGGUUGGAGCGAGCGUAGGGGGGUGUAGGGCGUGUUUGGGUGCGGAGGGUGGGACCUAUUAGGUACCACUAGGGGAGGUGGAAGAAGGUGACGACGGCGGCGGCCGUCGGCUUGGAGACCCCUAGGGGAGAUGAAGGAAGACUGGGCCGCGCGGUGACGGAACGGGUCAGGGUUAUGUGGCGAGAGGCGGCGGUGACCUUGGAUGACGGCCGGUGGAAGUCUAGGCCGCUAGGGGCCGCUGUGCUGGGCGGGUGGUGGAAGAGGGCAUACGCCUAGGCAACCUAGAGCCCGAGGUGAGGGAAGGGGGUUGGAGACGUGCCGCGCCCACCGGCCACCACCCCUCCCGGUCGGUGGCACGGGAUUUUCCUCGAGUGGUGACUCCGUCGCGCUAAGUAGGAAGCCGGCCCGGCUGGCCUACACGCAGCGGAAGGAUAGAAGGUGAAGACGUCCACUGGUGACCGGUGGGGAGCGGGCGACCUAGGCCGGUAGUAGAGGUACCCCCCACCCACACGUCCGCUGAUCGCCUAAGCGGCCUCUUGUGGUGCUGCUCGUCUUUUCUCCCGGAGGUGGGGGUCGGGGUACGUUAAGCGGACUACGCGGGUACGUCACGCCUAUCGGAAGACGAAGGAGGAGGGGUACAGGCCCGUGGGGGCGAUGGGAGCGUCCCAUCAUACUCGCGACCGGCGGUGCGAGGGGACAGGAGGCUGGAGAGAGACGGUUGCAGGGAAACGAGUUGAGGGCCGCUCCAGGGUCCACGGGCGUCCUACUUCAUGUCUGUUGCUGUGGCACGUCAAGAAAUGUAGAGGGGAACAUUAAAACACUCGACGUCAUUCCUUAGCUACAAGCCGAGCUAGGGGACUAAAACCUAUACACGCCUGCACGUCAUGUCAAGGGUACUCUGCGUCGAACAAAAGCGGGUUCCAGCUACUAGUAGUCCCGCUCUUCCUUUUCGCCCUCCUCAGGAUCGGUGGGGAGUGAUGUCUAGCACCUCGGUACCAGCUCGUCAGCUCAGACGGACAACAACGUCAGGCAGGGUGCCCGUGGACGUUAUACGUAGCGGGGGUGGACACAAUUCGAACCCGAGGGGAACCUAGCUCAACGGUGGCCGCUCCAAAGAAGGUCUACGUCACGCCGUUGCGCCUUCGCACGCCAAGGUACCGUUAGAAAUACGUCAAACUAAGUUAGAGGAUAUUGGAAGGUGUGGGGGAGCAGGCAGGGACCUCGUCGCGCCCAACCCACCACGUCACGUGACCCUGAGGCGCACGUCACGUAUUCACGUAUUCUGUUGUACGCCAAAAGCUAUUAAAACGUGAGCCAACCUCCGCGCCCUCGCACCUAUACGUGAAUACGUGUUGGCACGGGGAGCAACCCUAAAAAAACGGACUCUCCUGUUUCUGUUGCACGCCAAAAGCUAUUAAAUACAUAUUUUCAAUACACCUGAGCAAACUUUUAACAAAUGUUUUCUUCGAGUAAAGCUCAACACAACGCCGAGUAAAGGGAGC
rnacentral:rRNA from 1 species